GAUGAACGCUGGCGGCGUGCUUAACACAUGCAAGUCGAACGGAAAGGCCGAAGCUUGCUUCGGUACUCGAGUGGCGAACGGGUGAGUAACACGUGGGUGAUCUGCCCUGUACUUCGGGAUAAGCUUGGGAAACUGGGUCUAAUACCGGAUAUGACGAUCUCUUGGAUGGGGUUGUGGAAGGCUUUUGCGGUAUGGGAUGAGCUCGCGGCCUAUCAGCUUGUUGGUGGGGUAAUGGCCUACCAAGGCGUCGACGGGUAGCCGGCCUGAGAGGGUGUACGGCCACAUUGGGACUGAGAUACGGCCCAGACUCCUACGGGAGGCAGCAGUGGGGAAUAUUGCACAAUGGGCGCAAGCCUGAUGCAGCGACGCCGCGUGGGGGAUGACGGCCUUCGGGUUGUAAACUCCUUUCGCAAUCGACGAAGCCUUUUGGUGACGGUAGGUUGAGAAGAAGCACCGGCUAACUACGUG
rnacentral:rRNA from 1 species